AAAAAAGUUAAAAGAAUUUAACUCUAAGUGAAAUGCAAAGAAUUGGAAAGAUCUCAGUCAUUCUACAACUUUCCCUCCUCUCAGCUUUCCUUCUCAUCUUUCCCUCUUAUUCUUUCCUAAUCACAAAUCGUCAUCAAGGCAUUAUUCAUUGUCUUUUCUUCUCAUCGAACUGUUCUUCUGGAGCAUUUUCCCUCCAUCAUCUGGAACCAUCAUCUUCGUCGAUCCAUCAGCCUCUCGUCGAACCAUUUAUGGAGUUCUCAUCCUGCCACCAUGGAACUUUUGUUGUCAUCUUCAUCAUUUUCUCUCUCGAGCGCUUCUCAGCCAUCCACAUUUUCUUUAGAGAUUCACAGGUUUACUCAAAGUUGAGUGGAGAAAAAACUCCUGAAACCCCAUCCAUUGAUGUGAGCUCAAAAGAAUUUUAUGGUGAGGGAUAUGAUGACAAUGACAAGAGAAUUCUUGACAUGACCAUAAUAAACAAGCAGCUUGGUUGGAAUCCUAAGACUUCGCUCUUCGACCUGAUGGAAUCCACUCUGACCUAUCAGCACAGGACAUAUGCUAAAGCCAUCAAGAAAGUAAUUGCAAAACCCGUUGCAAGUUAAGCUUUUACAGGGAUGGUGAUUUGCUAUCUUGGAGAAGGGUGUCGUUGCGUAAGUUUCUGCCAUAUUUCACUGGUUGAUUUUAUAUAAAUGUGUAGAAAAUUCGAAACUUUGGUUUGGUAUGCUUUGGGAAUGUAAUAUUCCUCACAAUGUUCUGAAUGCUAGUCCCAAGAGCAUUGGCGUGAAUAAUUGAGAAGUUCAUGGAUUUUUUAUUAUGUUUUUUCCCUCUAUUCUGUCUCAUGAUUGCUUGGAGCAACCAUUAGCUUUUUCUUUGUCCAACCAACUCCGAAAGCCUAAUUCUUUGGCUACUCAGCUGAUGGAUAUAUUUUCUACUGUGAUGAAGCAUGAUAAUCUAUGGUGAAUUUUAUUUGAUUGGAAAUUGUUAUUCUCAAAGGAUGAAAGCUUCUUAGUCAUAAUUUCAAUCGUUUAAUUAAUUAGAUUAUGCGUUUUAUCUACUUUGCAUUAUCAUGUAUUACUCAGUUCUUGAAGUAUGUUCUUUCUUCCUGCCAAAUACUGGUCAACUAUGAAUUAAAUUACAAUUGAUUGGAAGUAAUUGGGGUNCUUUUAUUUCUAUCGACAGAGGGUUUAAUAGUAGUGGUUGCAAGUAAUUGAGGUGCUUUUAUUUGAAUAUGUACUACUUCUCUGAUAAGUUUAAUUAGGGAGCAUUUUAUUUCAAUCUUAAUCAUAUGGGUAUUGAAGUAUGUACCUUUACUUGUUCAUUGUGCUGCUUUUCAGUAUUCUAACCUUUACUUUUUCAUUAUGCCGACUAUAUUUGAAAGGGAUAUGUUUGAAAGGUAAGUNUGAAGAUGAUAAGGUAAUGGCAUCAUUGUCCUUUUUUAAAAUUUAUAAUUAUUUUAAUUUUGCUCCUAGUUUUUGGUAUGCCGCUGCAAUUAAAUUCAACUCCUUAUUUUAAUUUUGCUNCUAGUGUAAAUAUAGUUGUAUAUUAAAUACUCUUGUAAAUAAAUUUAUUUUUAAAAGAAAAUUUAAAUGNGUAAUAUUAAAAUAUAAUUUUAGAGAUUAAUUUUGUA